GCACAACGAGCCAUUAAUUCAGCUUACAUCGAGGCACAUAGUGCAUACCAUGGUAUAGGAAUUGUAAAGUUGAUGGGUCGUAGCA